rnacentral:rRNA from 1 species
GAGUGAUCGAAAGAUGAAAAGCACUUUGAAAAGAGAGUUAAACAGCACGUGAAAUUGUUGAAAGGGAAGCGCUUGCGACCAGACUCGCCCGCGGGGUUCAGCCGGCAUUCGUGCCGGUGUACUUCCCCGUGGGCGGGCCAGCGUCGGUUUGGGCGGCCGGUCAAAGGCCCCUGGAAUGUAGUACCCUCCGGGGUACCUUAUAGCCAGGGGUGCAAUGCGGCCAGCCUGGACCGAGGAACGCGCUUCGGCACGGACGCUGGCAUAAUGGUCGUAAACGACCC